AUGGGGCUGCUAUAAUGCAGUCGACGAAACUUUCUUACACCGAAUGCUUGCAUUCACCGUAAGAAGUUGAGUGGCGGACGGGUGAGUAACACGUGGGUAACCUGCCUAAAAGAAGGGGAUAACACUUGGAAACAGGUGCUAAUACCGUAUAUCUCUAAGGAUCGCAUGAUCCUUAGAUGAAAGAUGGUUCUGCUAUCGCUUUUAGAUGGACCCGCGGCGUAUUAACUAGUUGGUGGGGUAACGGCCUACCAAGGUGAUGAUACGUAGCCGAACUGAGAGGUUGAUCGGCCACAUUGGGACUGAGACACGGCCCAAACUCCUACGGGAGGCAGCAGUAGGGAAUCUUCCACAAUGGACGCAAGUCUGAUGGAGCAACGCCGCGUGAGUGAAGAAGGUCUUCGGAUCGUAAAACUCUGUUGUUAGAGAAGAACACGAGUGAGAGUAACUGUUCAUUCGAUGACGGUAUCUAACCAGCAAGUCACGGCUAACUACGUGCCAGCAGCCGCGGUAAUACGUAGGUGGCAAGCGUUGUCCGGAUUUAUUGGGCGUAAAGGGAACGCAGGCGGUCUUUUAAGUCUGAUGUGAAAGCCUUCGGCUUAACCGGAGUAGUGCAUUGGAAACUGGAAGACUUGAGUGCAGAAGAGGAGAGUGGAACUCCAUGUGUAGCGGUGAAAUGCGUAGAUAUAUGGAAGAACACCAGUGGCGAAAGCGGCUCUCUGGUCUGUAACUGACGCUGAGGUUCGAAAGCGUGGGUAGCAAACAGGAUUAGAUACCCUGGUAGUCCACGCCGUAAACGAUGAAUGCUAGGUGGUUGGAGGGUUUCCGCCCUUCAGUGCCGCAGCUAACGCAAUAAGCAUUCCGCCUGGGGAGUACGACCGCAAGGUUGAAACUCAAAGGAAUUGACGGGGGCCCGCACAAGCGGUGGAGCAUGUGGUUAAUUCGAAGCACGCGAAGAACCUUACCAGGUCUUGACUCCUUUGACCCCCUAAAAGAUAAGGUUUCCC
rnacentral:rRNA from 1 species